ACUGCUGCUCCGGGGUGCACCGAUCUGAAAAGGUUGGGCGCUGAGACGGCCUAACCGCCGAACCCGUGAACUUGAUCCGGUUAGUACCGGCGAAAGAAGAGCGCAUGCCCCACGC
rnacentral:ncRNA from 2 species